UGGGCACAUUACUGCCCCCACUCCCACUUCCAAAAUGGAUUCUGUGAAUAAGGAAGACAGGAGAAUGGAUAUCCAAUAGGCAACUAACAAAGUGAAGUGUGAUUACAAUCAAUGAAUAGACUGAAUAUUUUAAUUAAAGUCUAGAAUUGGAGGGCUUAGGUAAGGUGGACUGGAAAACAGGAAGGUUCCACAAAACAGACUUUACUUAAUUUUUUUUUUUUUGAGACAGGGUCUUGCUCUGCUGCUGACACUGGCCUUGAGCUGCUGGUCUCAAGCGAUCCUCCAGCCUCAGCCUCCUGAGUUGGGAUUACAGGCACAAGCCACAGUGCUCGACUUUUUAUUUAAUCUUGUUAGAAGACAAGACAGAAACAUGUCCGUUGUGAAAACAAGGAAGCUGCGGGCAGAUCGAUUGACCCCAGGAGUUCAAGACCAUUCUGGGCAACAUAGCAAGACUCUAUCUCUGAAGACAAAACCAGCCAACCAACCAACCAACCAAUCAACCAACAAAAAAGAUCAAGCAGAGGUGCUCCAGAGGACGCAGCAAUAGAAUUCCGGAGCAAUGUCUGCUUGGCCUCGGUCUUCAUUCCCAUGGUGGCCCCUGAGUUCCGUGGAGCUCACUUCUACAUAGUUCCAUGUGUGACUUCAACAAAAUAAAAUGACGCAUUUAUUGGUUAAAAAUCAGAGAUUACCAUCAGAUAUGGAAAAUUGCUUUUACUUGGUAAUAACAAUCUUACGCACUUUUUACCAAACCCAUCGCAUUAAAUAACUAGCGUUUCAAAUUUUGACACUGCAUAAUAAACCCUCAUUUGAAAUGACUGGAGAAAUACUCAUCAAAUCUCAUGGAAGAAUGACAGAAUUUUCUCCAGAAUUUAUCGGAAAGGAAAAGAGGUUGGACUGUCAGGAAACGUUUUCAGGGUAACAUACUUACUAUUUUCUAGACAGUUACUCAGAUAACACUUGUACGCAGAGGGAAACACACCCCUGGGCUUUGCAAACACUUGUUUCCUGUGUGUCAGACUCGCCUGCAUCCUGUUUAUCAAAUGGAACGGAUAGUUAUUGAAAGCAAAGACCAGAACAACUUACCUCUUGUCAGUCACCUGCUUUUCUUUACUUGUCAUACUUUUAGCAUUUACAAAGUUUUAAAAAUGUGUUUAUCAUUUGGUAAUUAUUUUUAAACUUUAUUUGAAAAUAUAGACUGAGUUCUGAACAAAUUAUCCUUAAAUUUCUUCCUCUAGUAGUUACACUUUUCAGUAUCAGUGAAGUUUUAUGACGCCUCUAUUUUUCCUACCCACACAGCAUCUCAAGUUUGUCUUUACAGAAUAACUGGAAGUCCUAGCUUUAUCCUCUCUCUGCGUUUCUCUCUCACAGCCCCCUCCUCUUGGACUCUGCUCUUCCUCUCAGCACCGUAACCUUUUUAAUUUCCAGAUAGGUUUUGAAAACACCAUCUGUUCCCCUCUUAGGAUCCCUGGGGCAGAUGAUAGGUGAACCCCACAUCCCAGACACAUGGCCACCAAAGAUAUUCUUGCUUUUUUAAUGUUUAUCAAGUUCCUCCGCAGACAACAGAAACCAGAAAGUGAUCCGCUGCCAGCGACAGGGAGACACACAACUGGUCCUUAUUCUAAAGACCCGACCCAGCCUGGAAUGGGGCCCGGCGAGGAGUUCUUGCGCCGGCCGCGGGGACUGGGCGGUAAUGAGCCGCUAGUCUCGGAAGGUGGUGCUGUUGGGUGUGAGGGGAGAUCCGGCUUGCGCUGAAACAGCGAGCGGCGUGCAAGGAGGAAGCCGCGAUUUCCAAGGCGGAUUCCCUUCGCUGGGACACAACUCUUGAGAAUAAGACUUAUAAGGACUCUGAGAGUUUGAGGCAGAGGCAGAACGGCUCUGGGCUGAGUGAUGGGGAGGAUACCAGCACUCAGCGCGGGUGGCGGGCGCGGGGCCGAGCGCGCGCAUCCAGGGACGCCUUGGGGACGGGACGCGGAGAAAAGUUGCCGGGCGGAGAGAAAGGGUGGCGCUGGAAACCAAAUGGCUUUCAUCCCCUGGAGACAAAGAGGUGCCUUCUUUUGACAACAGCUGCCAGUGACACACACACCAUACGGCGGGGCCGGCGGGGGAGGGGAGCCCGGGAGGAGAGCGUCUAAGGCGGGGACCGGCACUGACUUUCAAUAAUGGGGUGGUUGCCAUGGUGACGGGCCAGGCAUCUAAAGGGGCGGCUGAAAGCACCCAUUGUUCUGGGGCCCGGCUGCUCGGGUUGUGCCUGUUCCUAAGAGACACCUUUAGACACCUCCCUCCGUGCAGGGGCGAGCUGCGGCCCGGGGCUGGGAGCGUCUCCGCGGGAGUUUCACACCAGGGCCCCAGGCCGCAGAUCGCAGCGCCGCCUUGGCUGCACGCGCGCUGCAUACGGAGGGCAGCGCCGCCUCCCACGCACUAUCCGCCCGAAAUCCGAGCGCGACGCGCGCCCGCCUGGGCCCAGACGCGCAGGCCGGGACACGCAGCUCCGCCUGCUCCCCGCUGUCCCGGGGAGACUUCGAAUAACAAUGCGGAGCAGGACCCGGUGACUCCACAAAUAACUCGCUGAGGUCUGGGGCGAGGGCACUCGGGAAAACCCCGCAGUCACUUUGCAGUCGUGCUGGAAGGAAAAGCAGAACGGAAUCACAGGAUAAAGAAGAUUAAAAGUAACAGGGCAGCGUUGCAAUGUUGCUUGUAAGAGCAAGCAGCUGGAAACAACCUAAAAGCCCGUCCCUGGGGGCUGGGUGAAUGAUAUGGGGCGCAUCCCUCUGAGGGAACACUAAGCUGCCAUUAAAGAGUACAGGGCAGCUGUAUUUGCUGAGACGUGGAAAUUUUCCGGUGUAUUCUAAGUAAUAAAGUGCAGAAGAGUGUGAGUAGGGCUGUGUGUAUGUGGUAUGUGUGUUUGCAUCUCUGGAAGUGGUUGCUUCUUAGGAUGGUCACUGUGGGACUAGGAGUGGAGGAGAGAAAGAAAACUUGCUUUUCACCGUACUAGAAUCUUCUGCACCUUUUGAAUUUUGCCGUUUAUACUAUGUCUUUACCUGUAAAGAAAAAAGAACUUUGAAAUAAAGUUGCAUUUGCUUGAACACUGUCUAAUGAGAUGUGCCACUCUCCAUAAAGCAUCUGAACUCAUUUUUAGUGCUUUAAUAAAUAUUAAUUUUUAAAAUAUAUAUGCACAAAUGCUAUUAGCCCACAGAUAUGUAAAGGUAGUGACAGUGGCAAGUUAGAGAUGAAAAGAUACACUUCUUUCCUGCCUUCCUGUGGUGCCGAGACGGACGGAGCCAGCUGUCAUUCAAGGAGCCUGCUGUAUAACCCAUCUAUUAUUAUAUCACAUUAAUCAUAGGGAUCUCACAUUAAACAAACAUGACAUUAGGGAAAUUUUCCUAGUUACAAAAUGGUAUAUAAUCAGUGAAAUGGACUAUUGAACACCAAAUGUCAUAGAUUUUUUUUUUUUUUUUGAGACGAGUCAAGCUCUGUUACCCAGGCUGCAGUGCAGUGGUGCGAUCUCGGCUCACUGCAAGCUCCGCCUCCCUGGUUCAAGUGAUUUUGCUGCCUCAGCCUCCG
rnacentral:lncRNA from 1 species